GAGAAAAUUUGGUGGAUUUCAAGUAAUCAAGCAAUCAAAGGUGGUGAGCAUUCUGGAAAAAGUAAUGAAAUAGUACCUGACGAUAAAAAAUCGGAGUACUCGAAAUUCGACUCCUGAAAUAGCUCAUGAUAGUUGGCAGCUAGCUCACUUUGUUGAGGGCUACAGUUGGACUUACAUCCUCAAAAACUGUAGGUUUACCGCUUUUGA